rnacentral:rRNA from 1 species
GGAUUAGAUACCCUGGUAGUCCACGCCGUAAACGAUGAGAACUAGCCGUUGGGUCUAUUAAAAGACUUGGUGGCGAAGCUAACGCGCUAAGUUCUCCGCCUGGGGAGUACGGUCGCAAGAUUAAAACUCAAAUGAAUUGACGGGGGCCCGCACAAGCGGUGGAGCAUGUGGUUUAAUUCGAAGCAACGCGAAGAACCUUACCACCCCUUGACAUCCUUGGAAUCUGGCAGAGAUGCCUAAGUGCCUUCGGGAGCCAAGUGACAGGUGCUGCAUGGCUGUCGUCAGCUCGUGCCG